ACGCACGCUGGCGGCGUGCUUAACACAUGCAAGUCGAACGGAAAGGCCCUGCUUUUGUGGGGUGCUCGAGUGGCGAACGGGUGAGUAACACGUGAGUAACCUGCCCUUGACUUUGGGAUAACUUCAGGAAACUGGGGCUAAUACCGGAUAGGAGCUCCUGCUGCAUGGUGGGGGUUGGAAAGUUUCGGCGGUUGGGGAUGGACUCGCGGCUUAUCAGCUUGUUGGUGGGGUAGUGGCUUACCAAGGCUUUGACGGGUAGCCGGCCUGAGAGGGUGACCGGCCACAUUGGGACUGAGAUACGGCCCAGACUCCUACGGGAGGCAGCAGAGGGGAAUAUUGCACAAUGGGCGGAAGCCUGAUGCAGCAACGCUGCGUGCGGGAUGACGGCCUUCGGGUUGUAAACCGCUUUCGCCUGUGACGAAGCGUGAGUGACGGUAAUGGGUAAAGAAGCACCGGCUAACUACGUG
rnacentral:rRNA from 1 species